CCGGAGUCAUUGCAAAUUCACCACGUGCAGACCGCCCUCUUGGAAAGGAUAUUUUGUGCCUGAAUCUGUCUGUGAAGUGUUCUGGAUUACAACGCCUUCUUAUCAGUUUUAUCAAUUAGAAAAACAUGCCUCACCUUUAAUUGUUUUGGAUCAUAUUCAAUUUUUCUUUUUAAAUAAGGAGGAGAGCAUUUCAUUAACUGGCCCAAAGCCAUAGCAAAUGGCUUUCCUGGGAUUUGAAACCACAUAUUUGGAAUCUAGAGUCCAAGCUCUUCUCAUUGCCUUAUAAAGCUUCUCUGUUGUUUCUUCAAAGGAUGAGUUUUCUCUGCUUGCUGCUCAUGAGGGCAUUAUCUCUAUGGAGACCCACACUUGGAACCUGGAGGUCAUGAAGAUAAGUUCUAGAGACUGGGACGUUUAAGAUCAAGGUGCUGGCAGAUUGGGUGUCUGGGUGUCUAGUAACAAUCUGCUUCCUGCUUCAUAGACAGCUAUCUUCUCGGGGGAGAUUAGGGCACAGACAGACACAUAAGAAUGACCAGGUGAAGACAGGGAGAAGACACAUGUCUACAAGCCAUGGAGAGAAGUUUCAAAAGAAACUAGCCCUGCUAACACCCUGAUCUUGGAUGUUUAGUCUCCAAAAUGGUGAGCAAAGUGACUAAAGUCAUGAAGUGUUUGGAUCCAGUGAAGCAGAGGAAUGAAGAUGAAAACACCAUGAAAAAUGAAGUUACACGCAAUGCUACCCAGAGACAAGACAAUUGCAGACAAUUCUCAAGAAAUUGAAACUCUGAGAAAUAAUUAACUUGGUCAAAGUUUCACACUAUGUGGCAGAUCUGGAAUCGAAACCCAGCUGUUUGACCAUAAACCAAGCUCUGGUUCGUAACAUGUGAGCUCUUUGAAAAGAAAAAAAGUGAUAGACCAGUGCCAUAAAGAAAAUUUUCCUCUCCUUAGUAAAUCCUUCGAUCUUCCAGUGAUAA